AGGAGCGCCCGCCGCCGCCUCCGGCAUCCGCGAGAUCGCCAGGCACCUCUACCGCCCAGGGUUUGCGGCCUGAACGGCUGAGAAAUUAAAAGGAAAAUUAACAUCCAUCCAUACACGGCCCCCUGCCCCGCGGUCUGCUACCCGGGCUUUUCCCCGGGCUGGUUUGUGUAGCUGGUUCUUCUCCUCAGACGGCACUCAGCUCCCAUGCCAAUUUCUCUCCUGUAUUCGUAGGUAAGCAGAGUGAAGCUAAUGCAUCAUUAUCAAAUCAGACUUCCCCCAGCCUUUCCCACAAAGUUGUUGCUUACAAAUACAAUCUCUGACGUGGCUGCUGUGAGUAACUGCAGAAGAAUCAAGCUCGGAGCACCUGAAGAGGAAUCUGUUUUGGACUAAUCUCUUCCACUAUUUUGUCUUCUCCCGCUUUCCCUACUGUGGUUCAAGAUCAUAGAUUUCCUCAGUCAGGAGGGUGGUGAGUGGAGAACACUGGCUCACCCAAGUCUCUUGGUCUCCAUGCAGAAUCACCUUUAACCACUCAACUCCAGAGAGAGCAGGGUUUACUUAGGGACAGGUAACUUGCCACUCCUUCUUCCUACAAAGUGGAAACUUGUAUGAAUACAAAGAAAAGCGUGAAAAAAAAAAAUCUAUGCUGCCAUUAAACCCCCUGUGUUCUAUUUUA